CCUACGGGAGGCAGCAGUGAGGAAUAUUGGUCAAUGUACGCGAGUCUGAACCAGCCAAGUAGCGUGAAGGAUGACUGCCCUAUGGGUUGUAAACUUCUUUUAUAUGGGAGUAAAAUGUUCCACGUGUGGGAUUUUGUAUGUACCAUAUGACUAAGGAUCGGCUAACUCCGUGCCAGCAGCCGCGGUAAUACGGAGGAUGCGAGCGUUAUCCGGAUUUAUUGGGUUUAACGGGAGCGUAGGUGGAUUGUUAAGUCAGUUGUGAAAGUUUGCGGCUCAACCGUCACAUUGCAGUUGAAACUGGCAGUCUUGAGUACAGUAGAGGUGGGCGGAAUGCGUGGUGUAGCGGUGAAAUGCUUAGAUAUCACGAAGAACUCCGAUUGCGAAGGCAGCUUACUAAACUGCCACUGACAUUGAUGCUCGAAAGUGUGGGUAUCAAACAGGAUUAGAUACCCUAGUAGUC
rnacentral:rRNA from 1 species